UACGUAGGCAGCAAGCGUUGUUCGGAGUUACUGGGCGUAAAGGGUGCGUAGGCGGUUGUUUAAGUUUGGUGUGAAAUCUCCCGGCUCAACUGGGAGGGUGCGCCGGAAACUGGAAUGCUUGAGCGUGGGAGAGGAAAGCGGAAUUCCUGGUGUAGCGGUGAAAUGCGUAGAUAUCAGGAGGAACACCGGUGGUGUAGACGGCUUUCUGGACCGUAACUGACGCUGAGACACGAAAGCGUGGGUAGCAAACAGG
rnacentral:rRNA from 1 species